GGGGGUUUAGCUCAGCUGGGAGAGCGCGUCGCUGGCAGCGACGAGGUCAUCGGUUCGAUCCCGUUAACCUCCA
rnacentral:tRNA from 1 species